AGUGAACGCUGGCGGUAGGCCUAACACAUGCAAGUCGAACGGCAGCACAGAGGAGCUUGCUCCUUGGGUGGCGAGUGGCGGACGGGUGAGGAAUACAUCGGAAUCUACUCUGUCGUGGGGGAUAACGUAGGGAAACUUACGCUAAUACCGCAUACGACCUACGGGUGAAAGCAGGGGAUCUUCGGACCUUGCGCGAUUGAAUGAGCCGAUGUCGGAUUAGCUAGUUGGCGGGGUAAAGGCACACCAAGGCGACGAUCCGUAGCUGUUCUGCGAGGAUGAGCAGCCACACUGGAACUGGGGCACGGUCCAGACUCCUACGGGAGGCAGCAGUGGGGAAUAUUGGACAAUGGGCGCAAGCCUGAUCCAGCCAUACCGCGUGGGUGAAGAAGGCCUUCGGGUUGUAAAGCCCUUUUGUUGGUAAAGAAAUCCAUCUGGUUAAUACCCGGGUGGGAUGACGGUACCCAAAGAAUAAGCACCGGCUAACUUUGUGCCAGCCGCCGCCGUAA
rnacentral:rRNA from 1 species